CUCAGUCCUGGAUUAUAACAGCAGUUGUUGCAUAUUCAGAUUUAUUGGGUUGAAUUCACAAUAAUUAUAUUACUAUUUUGCAAACAUUUAAAAUUUUAAAGCUACAUUCUCACAGAUUGAACGUUUUGACAACUUUCUCCUUUUUAGCUUGACUAUUCGAAGAAUAGGUGGGCUAUACUACUCGCCCCGGCGUCGGCGUCCGGUUAUAGUUUUAGGGCAAGUUAGGAUUUUCACUUAUAAGUCCAAUACCCUACAUUCAAUUGACUUAAUACUUAAUGCAGUUGUUCAGGGCCAUCACAUGAUGAGGUUAGAUAACUCCAUAUCAUUCUUUACACUAAUUAUGGCCGCUGAUUGACUAUGGAACAUCGGUUGAAGUUUUAGGGCAAGUUGGAAUAUUUAUUAAUAACUUCUAUAUCCUUUGUUCAAUUGACUUAAUACUUCACACAGUUGUUCAGGACCAUCACACAAUGAGGUUACAUAACUCCAUAUUAUCCUUAAUACAAGUUAUGGCCCCUGAUUGACUUGGGUUAAAGUUUUAGGGCAGGUUAAAGUUUUAGGGCAAGUUGGGAUUUUCACUUAAAACUCCAAUACCAUUCAUUCAAUUGUCUUCAUACUUCACACAGAUGUUCAGAGCCAUCACAUAAUGAGGUUAGAUAACUCCAUAUUAUCUUUUAUACAAAUUAUGGCCCCUGAUUGACUAUGGAACUUAGGUUAAAGUUUUAGGACAGGUUGGGAUAUUGUUUAAUACGGGCUCUAAACCGAGCGAAGCUCGGCAGAGCCCUAUUACGGUCACACAUAGCACUACUUUUGUUCAAAAGUUGCACAUACUAUCAGCCUGAAAAAAAGACGUAAAGGUGAUGGAACCAGUAUUUUUCUGUUCAUAAACUAUAUUGAGCCCGUGCAUGCGGGACACCAAAAUCAUCAGAGCGUGACGACACGGAAGAAAACAGGCUGAUGAAAUUUUAAACUAUGAGAUGCGAAAUAGCGCCCCAAUAGCUAUUAAAAUAAUUCAAAAUAUGCUUAUAAACAAUUACUAUGAAUACUUUUGGUAAACUCACAAAGACAAAUAAAACAUAUUUCUGUAGAUUGUCUGAGAUAUAUACUUUGUUUUCACUUGUUUAUUAAAGAUAUUCAUACGCAUUGUUUACCAUUCUAUACGAAGGUCACACUUGACGUUAUUAGUUGUCAUUUUAGGAUUUACAAUAUCCAUACUAUUAAGAUGUUUGACAGUUGUUUAUCGGAUAGAAAUUGCGAAGAAUUAAUUCCUGUUGGAUUACCGAUUUAAUUACGACCAUGGAUUAUACCGGUACACAUAGCAGAGCUUGUCACGUCAGCCAGGUAUGAUUACUUCGUAUUUAUAAAACACUUUUCAGUAAAUCAUACAAUAAAGAUAUCAAUUUCAUAAACUUAUGGCAUGCGGUUGACCAGUUCAGAAAUCGCUAUGGAUGAGCGAAAUAUUGUCACUGAAAAGAUGGAUGAGGUGUACCGUCUGUGAGCCUCAACAAUGGACGAGUGAGAUAUUUUGAGAUCAAAGGAUGGAAACACCAACACACUGGUUGAGAGAUUGAAUCUAAAAAGAUAUACAGGAAUUGUGUGACAGGUGAACUCUUGUGCCAUGCAACACCACUUUUGUGUAAAUUAAGAAGUUGGGCGGGGAGGGUGAGGGAGGGGUAUCCCCUCCUGCCAAGUGAAACCAUGGCGGAGCGCAAGAUUAUGACUGAAAAGAUCAAUGGCGGUUGCUGUCCGACACCAUGUGAAUGAUAAAGAUUGUAUGUAAUAUUAAAAUAUUUAAUGUGUAAAAAUAUACGACCAAAAGUGGAUUAUUUGUUUAUUAUAUGUAUCAUAGAGUACACAAACACAUUUUUUAUAAUUCUCAGACCAAGAGAUCACCCAAGGGACCGAAUCACCCCAAUCAGAUAGCUCGACUAGCCACAAUUGCAGUCCAAAUACCAGAAUGCAUCCAUGCCACCUGGUUUUUGACAUUAUUGCUGUGGACAGAUUUUCAGCAAUGCAGCCAGCCUGGUUGCUGAAGCCACAGAGGUAUUUUCAAGGACAAGAACCAAUGCUGAUCAAAACAUGGUCUAGUGAUGGAAUUCCAUAACCGUUCUUGGCAAGGAUUUUUUAGAAAGGAAU